GACGAACGCUGGCGGCGUGCUUAACACAUGCAAGUCGAACGGAAAGGCCCUGCUUGCAGGGUACUCGAGUGGCGAACGGGUGAGUAACACGUGGGUGAUCUGCCCUGCACUUCGGGAUAAGCCUGGGAAACUGGGUCUAAUACCGGAUAGGAGCCAUUUUUAGUGUGAUGGUUGGAAAGUUUUUUCGGUGUAGGAUGAGCUCGCGGCCUAUCAGCUUGUUGGUGGGGUAAUGGCCUACCAAGGCGGCGACGGGUAGCCGGCCUGAGAGGGUGGACGGCCACAAUGGGACUGGGAUUCGGCCCAGAAUCCUACGGGGGGCAGGAGGGGGGAAUAUUGCACAAUGGGCGCAAGCCUGAUGCAGCGACGCCGCGUGGGGGAUGACGGGCUUCGGGUUGGAAACUCCUUUCGCUAGGGACGAAGCUUUUUGUGACGGUACCUAGAAAAGAAGCACCGGCUAACUACGUG
rnacentral:rRNA from 1 species